rnacentral:lncRNA from 1 species
UUUGGGAUGGAAAUUUUGUAAAAUUGGGUUGUGAUGAUGGUUGCAGAAUUAUAAUAAAAUUAAGUUAAAAAGAUAAAAAAUGAAAAUAAUAAUAAAAAUAAACAAAGGGGAUCUAAUUAAACUUAAAGCUUUUGCAAAGCAAUAGAAACCAUCAGCAAAAGGAAAAUACAACCUACUGAAUGGGAGAAGAUAUUUGCCCAUGAUAUGACUGAUAAGGGGUUAAUCUCUAAAAUACAUAAACAGCUCAUACAACUCAAAAUCAAAAAACAAAAAACAAAAAACAAAAAAAAACAAUGAACCUGAUUUUAAAAAUGGGGAAAAGACCUAAAGAAACUUUUUUCCAAAGAGACAUACAGAUAGCCAACAGGCCCAUGAAAAUAUGUUUGACAUCGUUAUUCAGAGAAAUGCAAAUUAAAACCACAAUAAAAUAUCACUUCACAACUGUCAGAAUGGCUACUGUCAAAAAAAUUACAAAUAACAAAUGUUGGCAAAGAUGUGGAGAAAAGGGAACACUCCUACCCUCUUGGUAGAAAUGUAAAUGGGUGCAGCCACUACGAAAAACAGUAUGGAGGUGUUUCAAAAAACUAAAAACCCAACUACCACAUGACGAAGCAAUUCACUCCUAGGUAUAGAUCCGAAAAAAACGAAAACAUUAAUUCAAAAAAUUACAUGAACCCCAAUGUUUACAGCAGACUUAUUUACAGUUGCCAAGUAAUGGAAGAACCCUAAGUGUCCACUGACAGAUGAAUGGAUAAAGAUAUGGUAAUAUACACACAACAGAAUACUACUCAGCCAUCAAAAAGAAUCAAAUUUUGCCAUUUGCAAUAACAUGGAUGGGUAUUAUGCUAAAUGAAAUGUCAGAGAAAGACAAAUACCUAUCUUAUAUAUCACUUAUAUGUAGAAUCUAAAAAGUUAAACUAGUGAAUAUAACAAAAAAAACCCCAAAAUAUUAGAGAUGCUAGAAUACUAUAGCAUCUCCAGUAUUCAGUGAGCAUCUACUAUGUGCUAACACUGUGCUAUGCACUGGGAAUACACUGAUGCCCCAGUAGAUCUCAACUCUGUGAUCCUGGAGCCCACAAUCCAAAGCUGGCCUCAGACAAGGAUCUGCAGGCUGCUGUGGCUCUUAGGAGAGGCACCCACCUGCUUAGGGAAGACCAGGGAAGGUACUUGGAGUUGGCACACAAAGGGCGGGGAGAGUGGUAUUUCAGGCAAGGGAUGCCUCCCUCGCUAUUCUAGCUACAAGUUAGACAGAUGGUAUGGAAUACUGAGUAAUGCCCCCGCACCCCACAAAGGUGUCCCAUUCUAAUCCCCAGAACCUGUGAGCACAUUCUUACAUGGUAAAGGAGCCUGCGAAUGUGAUUAAAUUAAGGGUUCUGAGCUGGGGUUACUGUCUGAGUUAUCCAGGUGAGCCCCAUACAAUCACAAGGAACCCUACAAGAGGGAAGCAGGAGAGUCAGAGUCAGGUGUAGAUGUGACGGUGGGAGCGGGAGUUAGGGGUGGUUUAAGGAAGGGGCCAUGAGCAUAGAAAGCAGGUGGUCUUGAGAAGCUGAAGACGACAAGAAAACAGAUUCUUUUCACAGAGCUUCCAGAAAAAGCCUCCUUCUCAAACCACCUACCAACACCUUGACUUUAGCCCGGUGAAACCGAUUUGGGGAUUUCUGACCUCCAGAACUGGAAGAGAAUGAAUUUGUGAUGUUUUUAAGCAACAAAGUCUAAGGAAAUUCGCUGCGGCAGCCAUGGAAACCAGUACAGGUGGUCUGGUUAGCAAGCUACCCCAGGCAUGGGGUCCUCCGCAGACUGGCCCCUGAGCCCAGCCCAGGAGGAGUUGAGGAUUAGAAGCCUCAACAGGUAUGAUGCUGCCUGAAGUGCGCCCUAGCGUCUCCUCUGGCCCUGUGGAAUAAGGGGCGCUCCAGCAACUUCCUUUCUCCUUGAUGGCCCUCAGUUGCUAUGCAGGACCUCUGACCUCUGGGACUUCAGAAAGGGGAUGAGGGGACAAAGGCCAGUCCUCGUCAAGCCCCAAGCUCCAUCUGUGACCCGCACAGCUCAGGUGCACCGCCUUGCCGUUCCCCCUUGCCCCCUGCCGGCUUGUUCAGUUCAUGUGGGGGGCACACUUCCCUGCCUCCUACCACUGAGCCCACUCUGGUGACCAGAGGUACAGCCCUCCUUCCUGCCUACAGUUCUCAGAGACUAAGCCACACUCCACCCAAACAGUCACAUUGCCACCCCUCUCCCCUGCUGGUUGGGCCUCAGUCCCCCAUACUCUUCAGAAGGGUGACACGCUUUUCUAAUACAGCCGAGAAUUUCAACAAGGCAACAAGAAGUACCUGCCGAGAGACAUUCUCCAGGCAUCCACCCCCUGGGUCUCCCCUGCCUCUGGCUCCUCCUCCUUCUGUUCCCCCUUUGGCCCCCCACCCAGCCCCAGGGCUUACUCGCCACCUCCAACAUCCAGGCCUCCGUCAGCCUUGGCUCUUCCUGCCGUACAGAGUUGCCUCUCUGGGAGACUGCAGACAAACCGGGCCAGGUUCUGGGUCUCUGGCAUUGGCUCCAUAAACCCACCCAGCUCCUAUGGCCAUGAAUCUAGAGCCCAAACCCUUUCCUUUGGGCCAGGCAGGCUCUGCAUGCCUGCAGCCCUGACCUUGGCCAAGCCAAAGACCUGUGAGAAGCCCAGCCAAGAGUCAACCUGGCAAGAGGUGCCUGGCUUCCAGCCCCUCCUUACCUGUCUACGCAGAAUGACCUCUACCAGUGAGGCUCUGGGAACUCCCUUCAUGAGGACAACCCGGCUUGCACCAUCCUCUUCCCGCAGGACACAGCCAGAUGCUAACUCGGAGCAAUCACCUCCUCAUAGCUGGAGAACGACUUCCUAGAGCCUCGGUCCUGUCUUCUUAAACCUACAGGGGUGAAGAACUUCCUGUGGCCCCGCCCAGAGUUAUUGGUGAUUGGUGCCUUCACACCAUCUCAGCAGUGGUUCUUAACCUUGGCUGAUCAUUGGAAUCACCUGGGGGGAGGGGGGUGGGUAAGGGG